rnacentral:rRNA from 1 species
UACCAACACCCCGAGUGGUCGGGACGAUUAUUGGGCCUAAAGCAUCCGUAGCCGGUCAUGCAAGUCCUCCGUUAAAUCCACCUGCUUAACAGAUGGGCUGCGGAGGAUACUACAAGGCUAGGAGGCGGAAGAGGCAAGCGGUACUCAGUGGGUAGGGGUAAAAUCCUCUGAUCCAUUGAAGACCACCAGUGGCGAAGGCGGCUUGCCAAUACGCGCUCGACGGUGAGGGAUGAAAGCUGGGGGAGCAAACCGG